CUUUAAUAGGAGUUCUCACAAUCAUAAAAUGUUUUCCCAAGAAAAAGAUGGACGUGUUUAUUACUAAUCCAAUCUAUGUGAAAGUCGUAUGGAAAUCUUGUUGAACAGGUGCUUUUGUUGGGUAGAAAUGAUAAAUAUCACAGAAAAACUUUUUUCUAAAAUGAUAGAUUAUAUGUAAAUGUAAUAUGUAAAUAUGGAGUAAUGUUCUUGUAAUUACAACGAGAUACAUUUUAUUGGCU